AUGUCCCUUCCUCACCACCUCGCCGCCGGCGAACUCCUCACCGCCCUCCGCGGCGCCUCUUGCGGCUCCUCGGCCCUCCGAUUGUACUCCCUCCUCCGCAUCCACCUCCCCCCCUCAGACCCCUCCUUGGCUGGGCGCGCCGCCGUCUUCGCCCUCAAGCCCCUCUCCGCCGCCGGCUCCCUCCCUCUCCUCUCCCACUUCCACGCGCACCUCAUCAGGUCCAACCUCCUCGCCUACCCCCAGGUCGCCUCAUCGCUCCUUCGUUCCUAUUCACUCCUCUCCCCUGCGGUCGCCCACCACCUGUUCGAUCAAAUGCCCCCUGCCACUUCCAACCUGUUUGUUGUCAACGUAAUGCUUUCGUCCCUGUGCCGUUCCUCUGACCUCGCCUCCGCACGUCUAUUCUUUGACGACAUCCCCGACAAGGACAUCGUCUCUUGGUCGACCAUGCUCGCUUGCUAUUUCUCCAAUAAGAGCGUAGCUGAUGGCCUUGCCUUCUUCCGCACAAUGACAUUCACCACCACACUUGCUCCAGAUUAUGUAAUGCUUGUCACCGUCCUCACAGGCUGUGCGGCGGCUGGCUUGCUGCAGCCGUUCUGCAGAUCCAUUCACGGGUAUAUUGUGCGGCGCCAGGCAGUCAGUAUGCACCUUGGGACAUCGCUUAUUGAUUGCUAUGCAAAGGUUGGCCGCCUCGAUUAUGCUUCCCGUAUCUUUGCGCGGGUGCCCUCCAGGAAAGUGAUGCACUGGACUGCAAUGAUUUGUGGGAUGGCUAUGCAUCUGCAUUAUGACGAGGCUAUCCAGCUGUUUGAGGAGAUGCGCCGGCAAGGAGUGCGACCGAAUGAGAUGACAUUCACUGCCGUGCUCAGUGUAUGCGGGCAUGCUGGACUGGUGGAGCAAGGGAGAGAGUUCUUUAAACUUAUGGUUGAGGAAUAUGACCUUGAGCCAACUAUACAUCACUACGGGUGCAUGGUUGAUAUCUUUGCAAAGGCAGGUCAGUUGGAAGAUGCUUAUGAUGUUAUCAAGACCAUGAGAGUGGAGCCAAAUAUCAUCAUCUGGACUUCGUUGCUAGCGGCUUGCAAGAGGCUUAAGAAUUUUGACAUUGCAAUGGAGGGACUAGAGAAAGUAUUGGCAAUGGAGAUAUCUGAUGAAAAUGCUGGAUUAUAUACUCUUAUAUCUGACCUGUAUGCCAUGGGUGGGCGGUGGGAUGAUGUGUUGAAGGUUAGGAGAUUGAUGGAGGAACAUAAUGUGCGGAACAACAGAGGAUCGAGCUCCAUUAAGGCGGGCAAACCACCUGGCUUGAUUGUUCCUGCCGUCAGU
rnacentral:rRNA from 1 species